CCUACGGGUGGCUGCAGUCGAGAAUCUUCCGCAAUGGACGAAAGUCUGACGGAGCGACGCCGCGUGAUGGAUGAAGUUCUUCGGGACGUAAACAUCUUUUAUCAGGGAAGAACUAAAGUGACGGUACCUGAUGAAUAAGGGGCUGCAAAACUCGUGCCAGCAGCAGCGGUAAAACGAGUGCCCCAAGCGUUAUCCGGAAUUACUGGGCAUAAAGGGUGCGUAGGUGGUCUAGUUAGUCGUUUGUUAAAGCUCCCGGCCUAACCGGGAAAAUGCAAGCGAAACGGCUAGACUAGAGAGAGUGAGAGGUUAGCAGAACUCAUGGUGUAGGGGUGAAAUCCGUUGAUAUCAUGGGGAAUACCGAAGGCGAAGGCAGCUAACUGGCGCUUAUCUGACACUGAAGCACGAAAGCGUGGGUAGCGAACGGGCUUAGAUACCCCAGUAGUC
rnacentral:rRNA from 1 species